rnacentral:lncRNA from 1 species
ACUCAUCAUAGUAAAAAAUUUAUCUAGAUUCUUUUCUAAGAACGACUAAUUUCUUUGGAAUCUCAAAGUUUGUCAUAAUGUCAUCUUUUUUUCCCCUAGGCCCUCGUGUGAAGAAUAUGUUGUCUUGAACUCAACCAUCAUAUAAUCGGUUUCAUCUAUAAAAUAAUAUCUCCAUAUUCUUAUUUUUUGUGCUUGUUCGUGAUUUCUUGAUUCAAUACCCUGUAUGCAUAGGAACCACAAAAGUAAAAAAAAAAAAAAAAAAA